GAAAUAUAUAAUUUUACCAGACACCCUUCCAUAUUUUUAAAAUCAAUUUUCAAUUCACCAAACAAGAACAAGAGGGUACUAGUGGCUGAGGGUUUAUUGUGUAGCCGAGAUUACCACUUGUUCAUCACCAAAGUUUGAAGGAAGUAUCGGAUUUAUUUAUGUUGAUUUCGCACUCGAUUCGAUGGUUCUAAACGAUUUAGUCUUACACGAGCUGUCAUGAAUCUUGAUGGAACUGGUACUCUGCCUUCAAAUUUGGCCGUAUCUGGGAACAGAAAUAACAGUUGCAGAAAUUUGGGAUUUUUAGAAGAGUGAAGUUGGGUGGACGCUUUUGGGAUUUGGUGGUCUUCUUGGUUAUAGUGGUUUUCCACAUCGUAGUUAUUUUAUUAUUUACCCGAUCUAAUCUCCUUCUCAAUCGGACCAAACUUUCCCAAUAUAGUCGAUGAUCUGAUGUUUUCGAGUCUCCUUGUUUCCUACUUAUGAUCACAAUGUUAACAACAACAGUGGAGCACCAGGUUACAUGACGAAACCUACAGUCAAUGGGCUUGUUAUAAUUGUUCUUGAUAUUCGUAGGUAUUCUUUAUAUUGCUUUCUGGAGAAGUCAAUUUAGCCUGAUUAAUCACUUAAAUCAAAAAUCUUUUACUAUAAAAAAUAUCCAUACCACAUUUUAAAAAUCCUGAUUUAUAGGUUUGACUUUGUUGCUCCAAGUACCUUCUUUGUAGGCAAGGACUUUGACUUCAUUGUCAAUCAGUUUGCUUUUGCAUUUUCACCAUGUCCCGUGAUAUGCAUUUUCCUACAUAACUGUGUUUUUUGAAUGUUCUAUAUUCGACUAGCUUUGUCAAACCAUUUACCAUUUAUUCCAUUUUUAUCGAUUAUAAUUUCCAGAAGUGAAACCAUGGAUGGAUAAGCUACAAGUAGUACACGAACUUUAUGCAGUUUACAUUGUCUAAAUGUGAUCUUAUGUUUUAUCUUUUUUAUUUUUGAAAUGUUAUUAAGGGACAUGAGGGUCUUUCUUGAGUUGGUUGUCAUUCUAUUCACUCAUUAGACUACACAAAGUUGCGUUGCUGCCCGUGUUUUAUGGUUCAGUUUUUGUACACUUAAUUGGAUAUUAGAUAUUUGAGGAAUUUUAAAUUAAACUUCGUACAAUGUGCAAACUGCAAAAUAGCCUUACAUUUUGAUUCUUUGUUCAAAAGGCCCUUGUUUUGUGUAAAUAUCUUAACUAUCCAUACUAGAAGUGACACUAAUUGAGUCACAUUGACCCUAACCCAUUAAAAUCUACUCAAUUUGGUCUAUACUAACCCCAUAACAGGUCGAAAUAAACACCUGUUUGCUACCUCAAUCAAUACAAAUCAACAUAUUUCUAUUAGUACUUCCUAUCAACCUGCAUUGAAGGUUAAAAUUUUAGUUUCAUCAUUAAUCAGUCAUUCUUGUGUUGUCAGGGUGCAGAAAUUUAAUGAUAUCUUCUAAUUGUUGUGCUAAUGAAAAUAUCUACUUUUCACUCCUGAACUUUUGCCCUUCUAAAGUAUUGUUUAACUUGUUAGGAUGAGAAUUUACUAUUCAAAACCAAUCACCCUACAAGUUGGCAAAGAAAAGAAAGAAACACGAAGUUGUUCAUAUGUAAUUUCAGAUACUCAAGUAGCAUGUUUGCAUUAGUGAGAUCUUCCAUCCUAUCUAUCGUGAACACAACUUUGAAAAUUUAAGAAACGCAUAGAAGUCAUAUUUUUUAUUAUAGCCAUGCAUUCUACGUUGAGGUGCUACAACUUUGUCGUGAGCAAAAGUUCAUUCUCAAACAUUUAAAUUCACCGAGAAGUUCAUGCUCAUGAAACAAUGAUGUGUUUUUAACUUAAUCUUCUAUUUAAAUAUCUGAAUAAGAGUUCAUUUCCUAUGAUUUCGCUCUCCCUUGAGAUCUUUAUGGCCUUUUUUGUCAGGUGGAUGGCAGGUACAUUAAGAACUUGCUUCCAACCCUGUACAGAGAGUAUGUGCUCAUAGCACACUUUCUUGGUGUGGUAUGAUUUAUGUUUAUUUCCCUUAUUUUGGUUGCCAAUGUAUUAGAAGCUAGUUUAUUUUUCCCCACAUAUGGGAGAAGAGAUGUGAAUAACUAACCAAUAAACUUGACAAAAUUCAAUCAUAAUGAGAAAAACUAAAGCUUCAAGAAAGCGAUAUUGCUUCAUGGCGAAAGUAACUAGAAAAUAAAAUUUCAUUUUUCAUGAUUGAGUGUAAUUCGAACCAUUUAAAACAAAAUGUAUAAGAAAAACCCCUUCUGAUAAGGUGCUAUGAUAGAGUGAAUAGUAUCUGAUAGGUGUAACAGUGGGGCAUUAUUGAGAACUGUACAUAGAAUCAAUUAAAUUAGGUAGCAUGGCGUCUCUUACGUGGCUAGUUUUCUAAUAGUUGAAGUGUCCAUCCCUCGAACAUCCAUGAACAGUGGUGCUAAGCUCAAAUGAGAUUAUAGUCUAAUAAAAUAAUAAUUGCGUGGUGGAGUCUCGAAUUUCAUAUAUUUAGGCAAGGUAUCCCACGAUACCAUCCUCUCUGUAAAGAAUGAGAAAAUAAUUCUUGAACAUGCGAAUAAAAUCCUUAAACAAUCACUUAUUUAAUCCAUAAAAGUUUUUAAAAGGAAAAGAAAAUUUUGACACAACAUAUUAAAUCUUAAAAUCUUCACAACCAAAAUAAUUUGAUCAUCAAAACAUAAAUUAAUCGUAACAUAACUUUAUUAAAAUGUUUUAUUAUCUACCACUGCGUGCUCGCCCAAUCUUCAUCCAUCUCAAACACAGUUAAUUAUUACCUAAAAUUUUUUUUUAUUCAUAUGAGAUGAUGAUCUCAAUAAGUGAAAUAGCAUGACAUGAAUAAUAAAAGUCCAUGAGAUUCGUGAACAUACUUGAUGAGACACGAAAUUAAUAAAACCGAACUUCGUGGUUCUAAUUUUGUGCGUAGCGCUAACUCCAUGAUUUCAUAACAUAAUCAUAAUAUCGACUUCUAUAAUUUAAACAAUGAAAAUACAUGUAUUUCACUUAUCUCGAAUUUGAAGAUCCUAUUAUAACGUAGGAGAAUUCUUGAAAAAAUAUUCGUGUGUGUGUUUUCCUUUUUCUUUUUCUCUUUUUUUUUUUGGAAUAUAUAUAUUCUUAAUUAAUCAUUUUAAUUACGAUAAUUAACAUAUACGUUUUGGUAAGAUUGAAUAAGAAAAGGAAAGUCUCCUUAAUUGAAUCAUUCACUUAUGGUAGUUAACAUAUAUGUACAUAAUAUAUAUGGUAAUUACCUUUUCGGUUUUUGGUAUAAUUAAAUAAAAAGGAAAGUUUCCUUAAUUAUUUCUUUUAAUUAUCGUAGUUAACAUAUACGUACAUAUUAUAUAUGGUAAUUACCUAAAUUUGCAUUUAUUCCUUACCAUAAUAAAAACAUAAUUAUUUCUUACCAUGUACAUGGAUGCUACAUAUAUAUGCUAUAGUCCCUCAACUAUGGACGGGUAUAAAACUUGACUCUAAACUUUCACAGAUAUGCAAUACGAUCCCUAAAUUAUAAUUGAUGUGUAAUUUGUCCCCGAACCUUAGUCUCUAUAUAAAUUGGUCCUUAAACUAUGGUUAUUGAGCAAUUUGAUCCCUAUGCUUAUGUUAAUGACAUGUAGAGAAUUUUAAGUUAUUGUACUCUCACUAGUCUAUGCCUCCAAGGAAGACUUUCAUUAUGUUCAGCUUUCAAAUUCUUUGCUUUGCAAAUGAAAUAUCUUUGAGGACUACCGCACACAAUGGGCUGAUAACCAAGUUGAUUUCAUCACUUGACAAUCACAUGAGAGCUCAGAUUUUAUUAUGCUUUAUGCUAAGUCCGGACAUGAUAUCCUAUAAAAUGAUUAUCUGCUGCUAAUUUCUGAAAAUUUCAUGCAUCCCUUGGGUCAUUGCCAUGUAGAUGUUAUGAUUCUUGAGUCAUGUUCCUGUUACAUAUUCCUAAAAGCUAGCAUUUCAUCCAGCAAAUUUAUAACUGGCAGUAAAGUACGGUGGACUCAAGAUUCAGAUAUGUUGGAUGAGAUAUCCUACUACAUGAUUCCUUCUACUGCACUAUACUUGUGUGUGUGUUGAUUUUGUCAUUUAGCUAAAGGUCUAUCUAACAACAUAUAAACUAAACAUUUGUUUAUCGAAUGUUGUAACUGAAAAUCUUUAAACAAUUUACAUAUUUUAUAUGGUCCAAGAUCAUGCUUGGUAAAUAUUUGGCAUUGAUUCUUCACUAAUGAUUAGAUAAAUUGGAACAAUAUAAUGGAAGUCCAAAGUAAGCCUAUUAAUCUUCUCAUGUAUGAUUUUGUGGAGUUACUAAAGAUGGGAUAUAAAACUUACAUAUACCCCAUUUUCUUUAUUUCACAUGUCUUUUUGUGAUGCUUGACACUGUUUAGGAUACCAUAUAGUAAUGUUGCCAUUUUGGGAAAAAAUAUGAGGCUUUUAGCAAGGAGGUUGUUGGUAGCUUGAGAUUUGAUAACAUUAAGUAAAAGUAGAGAUGGUUCAGGACAAAAAAAUCUUUGGAACUGUAAGGAAGGGAAAUAGCUCUGGAGAUUUCCCUGGGAACAAUCUUACCUAUGAAAAGUAGGGUGGCCAGUGGGAAGUAUGGGUUCGGGCCACAAUGGUUGAGAUCCAAACAAAUUAUAAGACAUUCCCUUAGAAAACUUUGGAAGUAAAUAACUUAUGGAUUUUAUUCAUUUACUAAUUGUGUGAAAUGUGAUGUGGGUAUGGUGUCUGAGAGGAAAGUGGAUUGAUUCUUGUUCCCUUGCUGCUUCAAUUUCUAGGUUUUAUAGUCUCUCAUUUUUAAAAAUGCGUUAAUAACUUUUGUUGGUUCACUUUCUAAAUAGGGGACAAUAAAUAAAACUUUUUGCAAGUUUCUAGUUUUCUUAUUACACUUACGUUUCUACCUCUACUGCAUUAUCAAGGUUGGUAAUAUCUAAGUCAUUUGGAACGUCUUUUUCAAUCGUGUCAUCCGCUGAGUAAAUUGUUUGCUCUGUCUGUGUUUAGAGUGAUAUUGGCAAAUAGUUUCUUAAGUGGCAACAAAUAAUCUUCUUAUUGGACCACUACCAAACACAUAAUUGUUAUCUUUGGCUAUGUAUGUAGCAUCUACAUCACAGUAUCAUGAUUUUGCCGAUGUUCGUGACAACCAUUCAUUUUUAUCACAUUUACAAUCUCAUCUUUAAUUAUUUUUCAAUAAAAAGUAGAAUUUUACAUACCUCCUUAUUAUAUUUUUCGCUCCCUUUAACUAAUGCUUUAGGUACCAUGUUCUCACCACUUCUGUGAUCUAUGAUAACAUUGCAUGCUUUGUUAUUGUGGUGCAUCAUUUUCUAAAAAUCUUAUCGUGCAUCAAAUUGAGCUUAUUUAUAUCUCCACAUAUAGACAUUUGAGACAUCCUCGAUAACUUGCCAUGUGACAUUGUAGCUCAUUAACGCUACUUUUUGGGGGAGGGGUGGGGGGGGAAGAGGAAUGUUAUUAUGUGGAAUUGAAUUGCAUUAUAACAUUCUAUUGUGUGCAAAAGAAGAUUGUUGCCGAAAAUUAUAAUAUCGUAUUGAAGUAAAUUGAGCCAUAUGUGAUGGUUUGAUGGACAUAUAUUAUUAUGUUGGAGAAACUAUGAUUGUACAUGGGAUGGCUUGAUCAAUGAAAAUCAUUGUUUUGUAGUAAGCUAUAGUGGUGACUGGUGAGCAUUUGAACUUAGUUAGGACUCGAGGUAAAUCUUUAGCUACAUGUUGAUAUCAUUUUAAUAAUACCCAGCUAUAAGUGCAAUUAAUUUGGUAUUAAUAUACCCAUAAAAAAAGAUGUGGAACCAAUAUAUCUAAAAGCAUAAGUCAUUGGAGAAUGUAUAUAUUUACUUAUUCAACAUGCCCCCUCAAGUGCAUGAAGAAUUAAUUUCUCAUCUGAGGCCCAAGACGAGCACAAUUUAAAAAAAUGUGCCAUUUUGUUUUGAAAUUAGGACCCUUGCUUGUACUAUAUGAACCACUUCAUCUAAAAGUAAGCUCUUAGAGAAGAAUAAAUUUUUUAUUCAAAUUUAAUUUUUAUCAAAAGAAAGAAAGUACUCAAAAUGAUUUUUCCACUGGCUAUUAACAAAAAGACUUAUAUGCACUUAGGCACCUAGUGGGUUUAGAACGCAAAUUGGUUGUGUUCAAUGAAAAAUAAACGCACUAGGAUGCAAAUCUCCAUGCAAUGAUCACCCUAAACCCUAGUUUCACAAAAUGACAACGCGUUGAAUUUUGACGAAUCAAUGCUCUUAAAUCUAUCCAAAACUCUCUCUCGAGAUGUAUUGAACCUAUUCUUAUACACCACCGGCCUUUUGACAUGUAUUUUAGGUAGUUGUACCCCACUUCGAGUUGUAAUUACCUUAGCGUGCUCCUUGGGGAUAAUUUCUGUGUUACUUGGCAAAUUACCCGGUGCUCUACCAGUCAAUGCAAUGGCUAGCUGUCCCAACAGAGUCUCCAAAUUUUUGAUGGUGGCAUUUUAGUUUUGAAGAGUGGCUUCGGCUUUUUCCAUGAAUUUCCCUAAUAUCUCUUCCAAUUGAGGCCUCUUCUCUUGCUAUUGAAACUGUCCCUAUGGCAUAUUCUGAUUCUGGUUGCUCCAAGAGAAAUUGGGAUGCUUCUUCCAAUUGGGAUUGUAUGUUUUCCCAUACAAAUUGUUCUGUUGGCAUUGUCCCCACUGUGCAUAGUCUACCCGCUCAAUUUCUUGCAUUAAGAUUGGGCAUUCUGUAGUUUUAUGCUCAGCUCCACAUUCCUCACAGUUGCGCUUCUUAACUUGUGCUGCCUGUGAUAUGCUUUCCACCUUGUGAUACAGGUAGUCGAUCUUUGUAGAUAUAUCCGAAUAAGUAUCUAUCUCGUGGACCCCCAGAGUCUUCCUUAGGAUCACCCUCUCAGAAGACCACAUGGCUGAAGUGGUAGCCACUCUCUAGAAUAAUUCCAAUGCCCCAUCAACUGUUCGUGUGGGUAUUGAGCCAUUUGAUGCUGAAUCCAUCAUGCUUUUGUGGUACGGAAAUAACCCUAUAUAGAGGAAUCGAAUUUAGGUCUUUUUGUCAAACCCAUGUUGAGGGCACUUCUGGAGUAUGUUUUUAAAUCUAUUCUAGGCUUCCUCAAAUGAUUCAGAUUCUCCUUUAAUGAAUGUUGAUAUAUCAAGUCUCAGUUUUGCUAUCUUGGCUGGCGAGAAGAACUUCGUGCAGAAUUUAUGAGCCAACUCGUUCCAAGCACUAAUGCUUGUAAGAGAAAGUGAAUGCAACCAUUCAAGUGCCCUAUUCCAUAGUAUAUGUGGAAAUAACCUUAGCCUAAUAGCAUCAUCCGAAAUUUCUUGAUACCUGAAGUGUUGACACAUAUCCAAGAAUCGAAAUAUGUAUGUAUUUGGAUUUUCUUCGGCUCUUCCAUAAAAUUGGUGUCCAUUCUGGAGCAGCUGUAUCACAUUAGUCUUCAAUUGAAAAUUAGGUUGCCCAAACGGUGGAUACACUAUGCUGGAUUGGCUUUGAAUUACUUGAGGAGUCAAGAAAUCUCCCAAAAUCUCAUUUUCUUCGUCUACCGCCUCUCCUUCAUUGGCUGGGACAAUAGGGUUGUUCGGUUCAUUAGCCAUUUGUAACUAUGCCUCUCUAGCCUAUCUUUGUGGUUGAUGAAAGGUGCACUUAAUUUCAGGAUCAUUCGAUCUUAGCAUGCAACUCUGCGAGAAAACCUGUAGCAGUACUCAGAUUCAAACAAUUGAAUAUCUAAAGAGAAUAAAAUAAAAUAGGCUAAAAAAAUUUUGGAAAAUAAAAACAAAAAUUAAAAAUUAAAGUUCUAAUUAGAGCCUAAAAAAUAAAAUCAAACUAAUACUCAAUCCCCGGUAGCGGCGCCAAAAACUUGUUCACGAAAUUAUUCUUUUGAUUUGAUCCGCAAGUGUACGGUUCGUAACAAGUAAUAAAGUGAAUUUUAGAGUCCGAAUGUCGUCCCACAGAGAUAGAGUAACUUAAUUUUAUAUAUCUCACCCUUAACCGAAAACCAAAUUAUCUAACAAGAUCAAUGUGACUUGAUUAAUCCUAACCUAAAUUAAAUGUGCUAUUGCAUGUGAAUUUAAUGAUUUAAAAUGCAAAGUUUCAUUUUAAAUGCAAGAUUGAUGUAAUUAAUGAAUGUAAAGUGGACUAGGAUCACGAAUCCCCAAGCAAUGCUCAAUUUAACCUUAGUUCUAUAAUUUGACAACACGUUGAAAUUAUGAAGAAUCAAUGUCCCUAUAUCUUUCCAACAAUCUCUCUCGAGCAAAAUUGAACCCACUCUCAUAUAUCACCGGCCUAUAUCUCCAUGACAGGUGCAAAUAUACAAGAAUACAUGUAGUUUUGUGUGCACUUAAAGAUUUACGCAGAGCAUAGCGGUAUAUCCCUAUCCCCUAUCGGACCCUACAAUUGCAUUGUCGAACCUAUUCCCCUUCUCUCGAAUGCAAGAAAUAGAUUACCACACACAAUUACAGGCCCAAUAAUUAUGGAAGAAAUUAAAUGCAUAUAAACCAUUCAAAAUAAUCAAACGUGUUUUAAUGUCAAAAAUAUGAAACAAGGAAUUAAGAAUCACAUUACAAAGUUCAUCAUCUCCUAGCAUAUAAAAAUCUAGCCUAACAUGGUGGGAAGAAGAAAGCAAAUUAAAUAAUGAAGAAAAACAUCACCACUUUAAAUCUUGAAUUGAAUCCUUGCAUCUUGAUGUCAAUCUCCUCGUUUUUGCCUUGUUCUCCUCUCUAAAAACCCUUAUGAAUGUGUUAUAAUGCGUGGUGUAUGUUUUUUGAAGUCCCUAGAGCUUUAAAAGACUUUCCAAAAUUUGUUUUCAUAAGAAUUUCAAUCAGAAAAGGAAACCAGAUUUUUCUCACCGCGAUUGACCUAGGUGCAAAACCCGGGCAGUCACCCAUGCAUGGAUUUUUGCCUCGGUAAUUAAAUUUUGAAUUUAUAACUGGGAUGUCGCUCAGUUAUAAAAAAACUCCCGAAUGUUACAUUUUAGCCCCCGAAGUCGAUUCUUGAUUCUUUCAAGUCCGUUCUCUUGCGUUUUCAACCCUUUCACUUUUAAUUGCAUCCAGUUGAACCUAAAACAUCUUUAAUCUUCAUUUUGUGAUCCGAAUCAACUAUUGAAAUGUUACAAUUUAGUCCUUAUACUUUGGAUUUUCCCCUUUUUCUUUUCGAAUUCCUUAGAAAUCGGUCUAUCACUGAAAUAAACGGAAAAUUACCCAAGUUAAGUAACAAUCAACACUUUCAUGACAUAAAAAACUUAGUAAUACAGUCUAUAUAAGUGCACAAAAUGCACUUAUCAGAAAUUCUCAAAGUAUAUCAUUUCUGUUUUUUUAUAUAUGAUCUGUUGAUUUGUUCUUACAUUUUUUUUUUUUUUGAAAUAAAUGUUGGAACAAAAAAUGGUGAUGAUUAAUCUUUGUUGCCUGAGUUUCUAUGUUGGAUAUGCACACACUUGCAUUUGAUUUUUUUUUUUCCUAGGAAAAUUGUUAUUGAGCUUGGGCAAUUAUCCUAGAAAAAUAAUCCUUCAAGAACACUAGGAGUCAACAAGGUCUCUUAAUUUUGGAUGUUAAUAACUCAAUUUGUUCCAAUGCUAGCUCUUUUGAUUGUGGCAUAUCUAUACAAGUGUUUAUGCUCCUGUCAUGGGAUCUUGAAGUAUGUUAUUGUAGGAAAAUUAUUUUAUUUCAUGCUCAUAACCAUAUAUUGGGCCUCCAUUAUUAACGUAUCGAAUUUCCCAAUGGUUCUGAUUAAGGCCAGUUUUAUUCCUCGAAUCAUUUAUAUUGUUGGAGUUGUUUAGGAGUAAUUAUUAUCCAUAAUUAAUUUUUGGUAAGAUAGCUAUGACUUUGGAAGAAAGUAAAAUUUUCAAGUAUAGACCCAGUUAUCUGCAUGGAGUUCGAGAUCAUAGUUCUAUCUGGAAAAGAAGGUCCAGUUGGCUUUCUUUUAUUAAAUAUUGGAGAUGCUUGCUAUUAGUCUUAUUGUAACUUUUCUAUCUUUAUAAUUAAGUUGAGCCAAUUUAAUGGUUAACUUGCAAUUACGUUUGCAUUUCCUGUAAAUAUGUUGGUGCAUAAUAUUAUGGAUUUUAAUUUGGAUUUUAUACACAUCCUGUAACACAGUGGAGCCUCCUCGCUGCAUGUAUGUCUUUCAAUAUGGGGUCACUGGUAACAUAUUUUGCCUCUUCCUAUGUUUGAGCAUACUGAUAUUGAUUAUCCAUUGUGAUAAUCUCAUUCAUUACCAAAUUACAACUUGGUUGCAAAUUUUGUGUUUUUCCCCCCUCUCCUUCCUUUACCUUUGAGGUCAUGCUGGUUUCACUUAAAAAUCACUUCAUGCAGGUGUGCUUUUGAUGGCCUUGGGGAGAGCAUAUAUUUUCUGUAAAUGACCUUUCCCCAUCUUGAAUUGGAAGGACUUGUUUAAUUGUGCAUAUAUUGGGUGUCCAUUCUUUUUCGAAUUCGUAUUCUAUACAAUACAAACUUAUAAGAGUGAACGUCUAUACAGUGUUCAUAUUUUCAUCCAAUACGACGUCAUUUUGAUGACAUCACCGUGACCCUUUUUACUUGUAUCUCAUUACGACAUCGUUUUACUAAUUCUAACUAAAAAAUAAUGUCACUUUGGUCUUUGACACAGUCAUCUCUUUGCCCUUUUUCAAUUCAAGUGCCUUUGAAUCUGACAUAAUUUGCCCUUCCGUAAUCUUUCUCCAUCUUCCCACGCUACCAACCAUGCCUCUUUAUACCUCUAUUCCCCCCCCCCCCCNNNNCCCCAUACAACCACCCCUCCUUUCUUCUUCCCUCUUUUCUACUUGUUCUCUCCCACAGUUUCUCUCUAAAUGCUGAUAAUUUCGCCAAAUCAUUCCACAAAACUGGAUUUUCUGUUUUUAUUUAAUACUCAUUAUUUGAACCUUGGUCUUUCCAAUGAUUCUUCCUCUGCUUUGUAGGUUUUCUUCCUUGUUUCGGCAGAUGCCAGCUUUGAUACUUUUGGUAACAGUUCGGCUUUAGAUAAAUUUUUAUUGAUUUCACUAAUUGGAUUUCGUAUAAGAACUUUUGAUGGUUCGAUGGAGUUUUUCCUUCUGUGUAGAUUCUUGUGUCUUUGAAAAAAAAAUCGUAUUUCUCGUUUAUCUCUUGGAUCGUAACUUGAAGUGAUGUGAUUUCAUAGUCCGAUUAAAGAAUCUGGGUUUCUGGUAUUUUCUUGAAACUAGUUAUUUUGAAUCUAAGGUCUUCAUUCACUGUUUUGUGGCUUUCUUCUUGGCCCAAUUUCUUACACAAAUACAGUCCAUUCUGUGUACACAAUUCCAGAUCACAGACAUUGUUGUAACUAGGUAAUAUUUGCUUCGUGGUUGUCAAUAUAAUUGUUGAUUAUUUCACAUUUUUAGUUUCAAUUCAGCUUCCCUUUAAUCAUGGCUCUAUUUAAUUAUUUAUGCAUUGUUCCUUUUUUAAUUUCAUUACUUGGCUCUUAAGAUAGGUUAUUGCUUGUUUGACUAAAAUCAUACUUUAAAUAAGCCUCUGCAUCACCAGGUAAAGAUAUGAAUUCGUGGUUUCGAGACAUUAAACAUUAUUUUAUUCUAUAUUAUUUUAUUUUUUUUGUAAAUUUUUUAGUUUGAUUUUGUUAUCUAAGCUAAAAUUCAGUAGUGAAUAAUGUGUUUUCCUUAAUUUAAGUCAAUUUGUCAAUGCAAGUGACGAUAAAACAGAUAGUGACUUCAGAACUCUUUUUAGAGUAUGAUGAUUUGUCGAUGGGAAUCUCUCCAAUGCAUUAGCUAAAUUUUAAUUUAAUUUAUUUUUUUCUUUGCCUUUACAAUUAGUUCUAGAGUAAAAUAAAUAAAAAUAGAUCCGAUUGUUUCCUUUUACAAAAUUUGAGAAUUUUUUCAUAAAGAAUGUGAAGGGUUUACCAGUGAUUUAUUGCAUGAUUAUGAGGUUAAACUACGAUUAUAUAUGUUUAUGAGUCAUCGCAGCUGAGACUAUAAUAUUUUUCCCAGUUACGUCAAAAAGAUUUUAUACUUUUAUUGAAUUCAUUACUUUGAUUUUUAUUUAUUUAUUUCAUUUUUGAUCUUUUAAAAAGAUAACAUGUCGCAUAUCAUGCAAUAAUUCAGCCUCGUGCUCUUCCAGCUUGUGUUUUGUUCGGUUUGAUUUUUCUGAAUCAGCACCAGCAGCAAUUAUAAUUCGGUCAAGAAAUUGUAAACAGUUGAUAUAUUUCAUGAAUUUAAGUUUCUGGUUUGCCUGUGAUGCAUUUCCUAUUACACAUUAUCAGAGAUUAAUGAUGAUGAUGAUGAUACGAAAUUGUCACUACCUCUGAGCAAUUUACCAUGAAUUAUUAUCUAGAUUAUUUUAUAAAUUGUUGCACUUCCCAAGUUAUAUAUAUAUAUAUAUAUUAUUUUAUUUUAUUUUUUGCUUGUGUACCAAUGUUUGGACUAAUGUGGUUUUCCAUGCUUUCUCCAUUUGCAAAUCUACUUGAUGUAAUCUUUGUUGGUAGCUUUUUGAGUGAAAAUUGUUUAUAUUCAAGUUAUCUACCUUGUCUAAUCUUACAAGUUUGUUUCAUUUUACCAAUACUAGGUAAUCUGUGUGUUUUAUCAACGAAAACCUGUGGACCAUCCUUUUUGCUCAUUUGGUCCAAGACGGCACCAUCAGCCGCGAGACACAGUUCGGUGAGGUCAAUUUUUGUAUUUCGCUGAUUUUCUCUAUAUUAUUAUUAUUAAUUUUUUUUUUACAUGUGUGGAUUUUGCUCUUUAUUUUUUAUUUCAAUUUUUGGAUAUGUUAGGAAUUUGUUAUUUGAUUUUUAUUUUUUUUUAAAUUAAAGUUUUCUGUUUUUACUACAAUCUUCUCAAGGAAGAAUAAAUACUUUACUUUUGAUUCUUGAGGUUUCCUAGUCAUAUUUGAAUAAGGCCUAAUGUAUUUGUGAUGUAAGAAUAUCUCCAAGAGACUCUUUAAACUUGAAAUGUUCUCUAUUUUGAAGGGUCAAUCUCUUAAAUCAUGCUCCAAAAGACUCUUUAAUUUAACAUUUUUAUUUAGAGAAUUUGGAUAGCAAAACUCACUCUCUAUAAUUAAAUGCAUUCAAAUUAUUUCAAUUUUCAAUAUAAGAAAAUAAUAUAAUAAUUUAGAGAAAAGCUAGUUAAAAUAAAAGGUAGAGAAAAAUAAUAUAUAUUCUUUGGGAGUACUAAAAUUAAGUGUUAGAUAUAAAGAGCCUAUUGGAGUAUUUCAAAAAUUUUACUCUUUAAAUUUAUAGAUGUUCUCUAAAUAAUGGAAUAUCCUCUUUAAAAAUAGAGAUUGUCUUGGCGGUGCUGCAAAUAGAGGGGGGUCAUAAAUCGAUUGAUGGGCUUCAAGGGGCAGUUCUAGAGGUAAGUGCAUUACCUUGUUAUUUCUUCCGAUUUCUUGAACAUGGUUUGUUGCUCAUUGUCAUUUUAUAUUGCUGAAUAUUUGUUCUUUUGUGACUUGGUUUUGGAAUCAAUGCUCUUUUUGUUAUUAGUAUAUUUUAUUGGUCUUGUGGGGUUGUCUUAAAUUUCUUUUUUUUAAUCUCAUUUUUGCUCUUUAAACUUUCUUGAUAACAUUUGCUGUUUUUGUCUUGUGAGGUAGUCUUAGAUUAAAUUUAUGAUCUGGGUGGUGUUUGACAUUUGCUUGUUUAUGUGAUUUAAGCUGUCAAAAAUUUUAUUGUCUGUGGAAGUUGGAAGGAGGACUGCAGUGCUUGGGGUUGGAUGGAGAAAAACUCUGUUUCAUUUCAUGUAAGCAAAACUUAAUUUUCUGCCUUGGUAGCUGUUAAAAAGUUCAGUUUAUUGGAAGGAAAGAAAUCAAGAUCAAGAAAACAGCCUAUUGCUGAUGGCUCUGCGCACUUUGCAUUGGAUUCCGGGAAGAGUUCUAUUCCUACUGAACUCUCCUCUAUUAUAUUGGUAAGAUUUUUGUCUGUAUCUUCACUGUGAUUGUGACUGUCACUGUUAUUUUCAUUGUCUUCUCCCUUCUCUUCACCUUCACUCAUUUGCAUAAUUGGAUCAUAUUUUGAUGUAUCAAUCCUUGUGCAAACUGUUUAUGAAGCUUCGCCAAUUUCUGUUUCAGUGUUUUCAAAUUCUCUCUCUUUGCAGACCACUAAUUCCAAUUUGCUAUUUUCUUUCAUCUCCUAAUUAGUAGAAGUUCCCUCGUUUGUUACUUCGACUCCAAUAGCUCCUGACAUUGUCUUUUCUUUUUUUCUUUUUUCAUCUUUUUCAUCUUUUUCAUUUGUGAACAGUGCCAGUUACUCUAUAUAAUUUUUUGUCCACCUACAGAAGAUAGUAUCCCAUGAGGAAAAAGUUCGGUAAUUUUUUUUUUUGUGAAUCUAUCUUAUUGAUUUAACGCCCUGAAAAUGUAUCACUUUGUAGAAUGUAGUCUUCAGGUCUUGGCGGCAUACAACCCACUUGUAAGUGCUUCAUUUUCUUCAUUUCAACCUUUCUAUGUUAUGAGAGUUGUGAAAUUCUAUUACUAUGCACUAACUGCAAAGAGUCAUGUUUAUAUAAUGCAUAAUAUGAUGAAUGACUGCAAUUCUUAAAAUCUACAAUCAAUAACAUUAACCAGAAGAGAUCUCAAGGAUACGUGGUCUCAUUAAGUGAAGUCUACUUUAUAGACUUAUGCAAUUAUAUAUCCAAUCAAAUUUCCAUGAAAAUAGCAUUUCCCUAUCACAUUAGUAAAAUGCUUUCGAAUUAAUCCUUGCUACAUCCUUAUAAAAUUACCACCAUCCUGGGUAUUGAAAAAUGGUUACAUUCGUACUUAAAUAGCCUGGUGCUCACAUCUUUUCCCAUUUUAAAACAAAUAUUCUCUUGCAUAUCUUGUUUAUUUUUUGCCAUGAUUUUAUCAAUAUGAGCACCCUCAAUGUCGUCAUCAUCCUUGGUCAAGUCAAUUUCUUCUUCACGAUUCUUUGUUUCGUCUUUCAGCUUAAGUUUGAGAGGCAAUUUAUUAUCAAGCGUUGUUAUAUGUAUUCUCCCUUAAUAACUAUUAAAGAGCUAUCAGCAAUAGGCUUCUCAUUCUGGAGAAAGACUCUUCAAAUGGUUUGCUAAUCUGAAAAAUUGAGCAUUCUCCCUAACUAACAGUUACAGACACUUUUCUACCAAUUUGGCUGCCAGUUGACAGUUUGCUAAUCUUUUGCCAACCACACUCAAGUUUUCAUUUUGGAAUUCUCCCUUUAGUCAUGUGGUCUGUGCAAAAAAAAACUCUUGAAAUGGUUUAUUUAGAUAUUGUUGACCGUAGAGUAUCUGCAUUCAAAUUUUGUUCUGCAUCGAGACCUUGAAGUACGUUUAUGAAUACUGCUUUAUUAAUUUAUUUAUGUUUCUUGGAAAAUGGUUUUAUGAAUUGAUUUUCUGGUGAAGUUAAAUAGUACUUGAGAAGGCUAGAUUAUUUUUUCUUGCCAGACUUUGAUAAUACUUAAAUAAUUAAAUUGUCAAACUUGAGUGUAAGAUCUUUUGGAAAAUUAUGCGGUCUAUUUUUCUUGCCUAGGUAGUUGGAACUCCCAAUUACAUGUGAACUUAUAAAUGUUGCUUGUGAUUUUGAAUUUAAAAACUUAGUCCCUUGAUAUGUCUAUCAUAUAACGUUGCUACAUAAUUUAGUCUCUUCCAUUUUACUUAGCCUAUCGUUUCUUUCACAUAUGUCUAUUAAAAUCUAAUUGCCGUUCUUGCAGAUUUUCCCCAAGGCAGUAUUGACUUUGGUACAUUUUGCCACCAUAUUUACUAUCGCCCUCUCUGAAUUCAUUAGCAUUUAAUGAAUUACGCAUGUUUAAAAUGUGACAAAUCAGUGAUAUGUACAUUUAUACUGAAUAUAUUAUGAUCUAUGUAAGAAGGUUCAACUUUACCACAUGUUUUUCUUUGUGAAACCAUAUGUACC
rnacentral:lncRNA from 1 species